rnacentral:rRNA from 1 species
GACGAACCGUGCGAACGUUGUUCGGAUUCACUGGGCUUAAAGGGCGCGUAGGCGGUCGACCAAGUCUGGGGUGAAAUCUUUCGGCUCAACCGGAAAAGUGCCCCCGAUACUGGCCGGCUAGAGGGAGAUAGGGGCAUGCGGAACUUCCGGUGGAGCGGUGAAAUGCGUAGAUAUCGGAAGGAACGCCGGUGGCGAAAGCGGUCUGCUGGACCUCUUCUGACGCUGAUGCGCGAAAGCCAGGGGAGCAAACGGG